rnacentral:rRNA from 1 species
AUGGCUGAACUGGCCAUCAGAUCAGCACAUGGCGCCGUAGACUCGCUACUGAGACGCCUCACAAGGCUCAUUGAAGACGAAGCAAAGCUGCUGAGCGGUGUCCGCGGCGAUGUCCAGUACAUCAAGGACGAGAUGGACAACGUUCAUGGAUUCCUCCUCAACUUCGUGGAAGACAGCUGCACGGACAACCAAAUGGAGGUCUGGGUUAGGCAUGUUAGGGAACUCGCUCGCGAUUCCGAAAAUUGUGUCGACGUCUACGAGCACAAACUCAGCACCAGUGCCGUUGCCCGUGCCCUUGCCCGUUACAGCGGCGGUUCCGAUAUUUUGUUGUGGUUCAACAGGGCUUUGUACCGGUUCGGGAUGCUUAUGUACACGGUGCCGGCACGCCACCGGCUCGCCACAGAGAUCAGACUGCUCAAAGAAAGGGCUGAACAUGUGAGCGAAAGGCGCACCAGGUAUGGCGUCCGCGAUCCUGAUCCUCAGAAGAGGGCAAAGCAACUUGAGGAAGUUUGUGGAGAUGAUACCAACAGGAAGAAAGACCCCAGGAUACAACAUUUGUUAGGCGACGAAGAUGAAAGCCUAGCUGGGAUUUUGGAGGGUGAUUUGAAGAUGCUGGUAUCUUGGUUAAUUGGGCAAGGAGAGGAGAUACAACCGGAUAUGCUAGUGGCCAAGCGGUUGACUGGGCCAGAAGAUGAGAUGCCAUGGCCGAAAAUUCCAGUGGACGAAUCAGUUUCAGUUGCGGGGACGUCUUGGCGGGAAAGGAGCAAGAGAAGGCCGGGCUUGGCAACAGCAGUCUCAAAGAGAUGGAUGCUGCGCUCGAUGUCCAGGAGGAAGAUCAUAGGCCUCAAAGAGCAGCUCGCUCAGCUAGAAGACAAUAUGCCCCAGCAAGACUUUCAGCUGGGGUGUAUUACAGGGUCAAGAGACAGGAUGCCACGGCAGGAUUUUCAGCUGGGGUUUAUCAAAGGGUCAAGAGACAAGGAUUCACGACCCAGGGUCAUCUCCAUUGUGCAACAGCGAUCAGGUGAUGACGAUCUGAAUUAUGCACAGAUAGUGUUUGAAGACAGUUUGAUAAAGGACUUCUUUGGUUUCAGAUGUCGGGUGAGGGUUGGGGAAAACCAUGCCAAAUGGGUAUUCGACGACAUAAUCAAAGACAUCUCAUCUCAGCAGGUGGAUCUGAAAGAGUGGCAAGAAACCAAGUAUUUAAUUGUUCUUGAUGAUGUCCGUGACGAAUCACUAUGCCACGAAAUCAUAUCUGGGUUUCCUCCUACUACUGCUGGUGGUCAUUCUGUAGUUCUAGUGAUCACCCACUCAUAUGCUCUAGCCCGUUCCUGCUCUCCAAAUGCAGUCUUCCCCCCUCUGGAGCCUAUUGUCAAGUUCUUCUUUGGCAAAGCGGUUUCCCUUGUUGAGAACAAUCCUGAGAAUGACACCCUGAAGCAAGUCAUUCGGUCCAUUUUAUCAAAAUGUGCACCCAGUCUCUUGUGCCUCAAGGCAUUCUUACAUGUUCUCUAUGUCAAUCCUAUGAGGAACAUACAAGAGCUUCAGGGCCUCUGCAACGACCUAACCAGUGACUCUCCUGGCAAUAUUCGGCACAUCUUAAUGUUCUGGUACAACAACCUCCCUCUCCAUUACAAGAACUGUUUGAUCUAUCUAUCUAUCUUUCCCCAAAAUGAUGGCGAUCAUAUCAAAAGAACGAGCCUAGUCAGGCGAUGGGCAGCUGAGAACCUGAUCACCGGAAGAAAUGGGUCAGCUGCACAGGAUGAAGCUGAACACUGCUUCAAUGUGCUUGUUGCAAAAAGAUUUCUUCUUUGCACCGGCAUUGGUGCUGCAGGGAAGGUCAAGAGCUGCAGGGUAAACAGUUUGAUAUCAAAAUUCAUCAGCGAUAUUGCCAGGGAGGAAAAGUUUGUGGAUGCAGAUCUCCAGCAAGAUUUCAGUAACCGGAUAUCCAUUCACAAUAGAAGCCAACUGCAACAAGUGUUAGGGACACUUCAGGCAUCUCCUCGCCCCAGCUCCUGUUGGAACAUUCGCAAGCACUCAACUGAUACUGAAGAUGGUCAACCCUUGGAUGACCUUACCAAGUUCCUUGAAACACUGCCUUCAUUUGCUCAGCUGGGGUUGGUUAGAGUGCUGGAUCUCGAAGGCUUUGAUGGUUUGAAGGAUCACCAUGUGGACAACAUCUGCGAGAUAUUUCAGCUAAGAUAUCUAAACCUUCGGAGGACUAAGAUUACCAAACUGCCCAAGAAGAUGGAGUAUCUUCAACAGUUGGAAACACUGGACAUUCGGGAAACAGCUGUAAGAUCAUUUGCUACAAAAGUUGUAGUGCUUCCAAUGCUAAAGCAUAUGCUCGCUGGGUACGCCCAACACUCAAACGAAGACAUGGAGUCAUUUUCCACGGUGUGCAUGCCUCGUGGAACUGGGGGCAUGGGAAAUCUGCAGAUACUGUGCCAUGUAGAUGUUUCGGGCAAAGAAGAUCGGCUGGUUGAGAUUGGGAGGCUACAACAGCUUAGAAAGCUAGGUGUUGUAUUCCAAAGCAACAGAAAUAAUUUCAAGCACUUGCUCCAGGCAAUUGAGAAGCUGAACAAGAGCCUCCUCUCUCUCUCACUCCGUGUGGAAACAACACAAGGCCAUGAGAUUACAGACAUUAACGCAGCAGAGCCUACAGCAUUCUCACCUCCAAAGCAUCUUCAGAGCCUAAACCUUUGUGGCGUCAGGGGAGGAUUGCCUCGUUGGAUCAAGGAGCUCCACAAACUUGCAAAGUUAACUCUGUGUGAAACACAUUUGGAAGAAGGCGACAUAACAUCCCUUGGCGAGCUCAUUGGGUUACGCUGUCUCAGGCUCCGGCACAGGUCGUAUGUCCAAACCAAGCUGACCCUUCAGAAAGGAGCAUUCAAAAAUCUUGAGUUUAUUCUCAUAGAAGGAUCAGACAUUACUGACAUCAGCUUCCACAAGACCCCCAAGAUAGAGAAGAUAGUUUGGAAGUUCAGAGAGAUGAAAUCAAUUCAUGGAAUCAGCCGCCUUCCACGCCUCAGCCGGCUUGAGCUCAUUGGCAACUGCGACCCAACUGCUACCAAAGAAGCACUUUUCAACCAUCCAAACCGGCCUGUCGUAAUUCACAAUGGACAGGUAAUACACAGUGGCGGGCGAAGAUGA